rnacentral:ncRNA from 2 species
GGAGGAACCUCUGGAGAGAGCCGUACUACUUAGUGGUAGAAAUCGGCCGCCGAAGGAGCAAGCUUUGCGCAUAUCGCAGAGUGAAACUCUCAGGCAAAAGGACAGAGGAGCGAAA